rnacentral:rRNA from 3 species
CGGCCUUGAAAUACCACCCUUUAAUGUUUGAUGUUCUAACGUGGACCCGUGAUCCGGGUUGCGGACAGUGUCUGGUGGGUAGUUUGACUGGGGCGGUCUCCUCCUAAAGAGUAACGGAGGAGCACGAAGGUUGGCUAAUCCUGGUCGGACAUCAGGAGGUUAGUGCAAUGGCAUAAGCCAGCUUGACUGCGAGCGUGACGGCGCGAGCAGGUGCGAAAGCAGGUCAUAGUGAUCCGGUGGUUCUGAAUGGAAGGGCCAUCGCUCAACGGAUAAAAGGUACUCCGGGGAUAACAGGCUGAUACCGCCCAAGAGUUCAUAUCGACGGCGGUGUUUGGCACCUCGAUGUCGGCUCAUCACAUCCUGGGGCUGAAGUAGGUCCCAAGGGUAUGGCUGUUCGCCAUUUAAAGUGGUACGCGAGCUGGGUUUAGAACGUCGUGAGACAGUUCGGUCCCUAUCUGCCGUGGGCGCUGGAGAACUGAGGGGGGCUGCUCCUAGUACGAGAGGACCGGAGUGGACGCAUCACUGGUGUUCGGGUUGUCAUGCCAAUGGCACUGCCCGGUAGCUAAAUGCGGAAGAGAUAAGUGCUGAAAGCAUCUAAGCACGAAACUUGCCCCGAGAUGAGUUCUCCCUGACCCUUUAAGGGUCCUGAAGGAACGUUGAAGACGACGACGUUGAUAGGCCGGGUGUGUAAGCGCAGCGAUGCGUUGAGCUAACCGGUACUAAUGAACCGUGAGG